rnacentral:rRNA from 1 species
UAUCAUGCAAGUCGAGCGAAUUGUUGAGUUUACUCAACAAUUAGCGGCGGACGGGUGAGUAACACGUGGGCAACCUGCCUAUAAGACUGGGAUAACUUCGGGAAACCGGAGCUAAUACCGGAUAUGUUCUUUUCUCGCAUGAGAAAAGAUGGAAAGACGGUUUCGGCUGUCACUUAUAGAUGGGCCCGCGGCGCAUUAGCUAGUUGGUGAGGUAAUGGCUCACCAAGGCAACGAUGCGUAGCCGACCUGAGAGGGUGAUCGGCCACACUGGGACUGAGACACGGCCCAGACUCCUACGGGAGGCAGCAGUAGGGAAUCUUCCGCAAUGGACGAAAGUCUGACGGAGCAACGCCGCGUGAACGAUGAAGGCUUUCGGGUCGUAAAGUUCUGUUGUUGGGGAAGAACAAGUACCAGAGUAACUGCUGGUACCUUGACGGUACCUAACCAGAAAGCCACGGCUAACUACGUGCCAGCAGCCGCGGUAAU